rnacentral:rRNA from 1 species
CUGGCUCAGAACGAACGCUGGCGGCAGGUCUUAGGCAUGCAAGUCGAACGGAUGACAAGGGAGCUUGCUUCCUGAAGUCAGUGGCGCACGAGUGAGUAACGCGUGGGAAACUGCCCUUCACUGGGGAAUAACGUUUGGAAACGAACGCUAAUACCGCAUACGCCCGCAAGGGGAAAGAUUUAUCGGUGAUGGAUGUGCCCGCGUUGGAUUAGCUAGUUGGUGGGGUAAUGGCCUACCAAGGCGAUGAUCCAUAGCUGGUCUGAGAGGACGAUCAGCCACGCUGGAACUGAGACACGGUCCAGACUCCUACGGGAGGCAGCAGCUAAGAAUAUUGGGCAAUGGAGGAAACUCUGACCCAGCCAAUGCCGCGUGAAUGAAGAAGGCCUUCGGGUUGUAAAGUUCUUUUAGUCAUGAAGAUGAUGACAGUAGUGACAGAAAAAGCACCGGCUAACUUCGUGCCAGCAGCUGC